rnacentral:rRNA from 1 species
ACUGCCGGUGACAAACCGGAGGAAGGUGGGGAUGACGUCAAAUCAUCAUGCCCCUUAUGACCUGGGCUACACACGUGCUACAAUGGGAAGUACAACGAGUCGCUAGACCGCGAGGUCAUGCAAAUCUCUUAAAGCUUCUCUCAGUUCGGAUUGCAGGCUGCAACUCGCCUGCAUGAAGCCGGAAUCGCUAGUAAUCGCGGAUCAGCACGCCGCGGUGAAUACGUUCCCGGGCCUUGUACACACCGCCCGUCACACCACGAGAGUUUGUAACACCCGAAGUCGGUGAGGUAACCUUUUUGGAGCCAGCCGCCUAAGGUGGGAUAGAUGAUUGGGGUGAAGUCGUAACAAGGUAGCCGUAUCGGAAGGUGCGGCUGGAUCACCUCCUUU